GAGACCGAGGAGGUUUAGACUCGUUACUCGCCAUUGGCGUGGCAGGGCGAGGCGUCCCUCGCGCUGCAAUAAGGGCCUAUUGGCGUGCAGGCCUUGAGGCGUGCGGAGGAAUGGAGACUGACUUGCGAGACGUCUCUCGGCGGUAUGAGGCGGGUACUGUGAGAUUCUGUCUGUGACCAGGAGGCGGCGGUGGUUCCAUUCUUCUCAUUUCCUGAAUUCUUGAAACUUCAAAAGCAUGAAACUGAGUUUUGAUUGGCUAAGCCACCAACAGAAAGGCUCUCUCCUGCAUCAAGACCCAGAGACAGCACCUCAGAGAAGGGUUGCGUGGAGAAGACCGGGUGAAGCAGAGCCCUCAGACCUUGAGACUUCGGGAGGGAGACAGUGUCAGCCUCAACUGCAGUUACACGGGGUGAGCAGUAAACAGAAGGUGAUGCAGAGUCCGGAAGCUCUGAAUGUCCAAGAGGGAGACAGCGUGGUUCUCAACUGCAGUUACACCGGUAGCACUUUUUAUUCCCUUCAGUGGUUUAGGCAGGACCCUGGCAAAGGACUCACAGUUCUGUUGUUGAUUCAGUCAGCUCAGAGAGAAGAAACAAGUGGAAGAAUUAAAGCCUCGCUGGAUAAACCGUCAAAACACAGUACUUUAUACAUUGCAGCUUCUCAGCCCAGCGACUCGGCCACCUACCUCUGUGCUAUAGAGGCACAGUGCACAACAGGAUCCUGGCACCAAUACCCAAACUCUGCAGCUGGGGCUCCACCCACGUGCCCUAUCUUGAAGCUGAGGAAUCUUUCUCCAUCGAGGGGCUUUCUAAAUUGACUCUUUUCCCAGAUAGAAGCAAUUAACUAUGCAAAACCUGAUCUAUAUAUGUACACACACAUAUGUAUGUGUAUAUAUGCGCAUCUAUGCAUAUGUAUACAUAUAUAUGCACAUAUACGUAUCUGCACAUAUGUAUCUGAAGUUACAUUUGAUCUUUAGAUUUUUAUCAACUUCAACUUCAGUAAUAGCUUUGUCGAGAUUAAUUCACAGGCCAAACAAUUCAUUCUUUUAAAAUGAAUAAUUAAGUGGCAUCUAGUACAUCCACUAUGUUGUACAACCACCACCUCUAUCUAGUUUCAAAACCUUGUCAUCACCCGGAAAGGAAACCACAUACCCAUUAAGCAGUUGCUUACCAUUCUCCCCUCCCCCAGCCCCUGGUCACCUGCAGUCUGUCUCUAUGGGUUUAUUUAUUCUGUUCAUUUCACAUAAAUGGAAUUGUACAGCC